ensembl:lncRNA novel transcript, sense intronic to BICD1
UAAAGGAGAUGGACUUAAUUUAAUGAAAUGUACCUCUUACUGACUUUGCUGCUUGAUUUAAACAAUCCUUCUAGGGAUAUUUCUGUCAUUGCACUUACCUUGCAUAGCAAACCUUAAUGCAAUUGUGUUUUGCCUUUGCUACACCAUGAGCUUUGCAUCCCAAGUCUUUAACACAAAAGCUAGCACACAGUGGGCAUGAAAUAUUUUAUGAAAGAAUCAGUUUGUACUAGAAGAAGGCACACUUUUAUCAAGGGUUCACUAGUCAAUAUUGAUUAGUGUUAGAUAAAUACUAAGAAAAUUAGGAUGUAUAGGAAGUGACAGAUGUUAAUAAAACUACCUGUAUUAGUUUCACCAGCAGUAAUGAGAAAAAUGUGAAAAAAACGUUUUGUAGGAAUAAUGUAACUGUGGUUUCUUAAUACAGAAUAAUGCAAAUACCAACUAAAAUUUUUUCUAUAAAUAUUUUAAUAUAUAUUUUGUUCUAUAUAGCAGGAGGUUAAUAAAAAUUUACCAGCAUUAUUUUUACUAAA